GCGCAGCUGAUGCAGCGACCCGCGUGAGGGAUGGAGGCCUUCGGGUUGUAAACCUCUUUUAUCGGGGAGCAAGCGAGAGUGAGUUUACCCGUUGAAUAAGCACCGGCUAACUACGUGCCAGCAGCCGCGGUAAUACGUAGGGUGCAAGCGUUAUCCGGAAUUAUUGGGCGUAAAGGGCUCGUAGGCGGUUCGUCGCGUCCGGUGUGAAAGUCCAUCGCUUAACGGUGGAUCCGCGCCGGGUACGGGCGGGCUUGAGUGCGGUAGGGGAGACUGGAAUUCCCGGUGUAACGGUGGAAUGUGUAGAUAUCGGGAAGAACACCAAUGGCGAAGGCAGGUCUCUGGGCCGUUACUGACGCUGAGGAGCGAAAGCGUGGGGAGCGAACAGGAUUAGAUACC
rnacentral:rRNA from 1 species